UACGUAGGUGGCAAGCGUUGUCCGGAAUCAUUGGGCGUAAAGCGCGUGUAGGCGGUUCAGUAAGUCUGCUGUGAAAGUCCAGGGCUCAACCCUGGGAUGCCGGUGGAUACUGCUGGGCUAGAGUACGGAAGAGGCGAGUGGAAUUCCCGGUGUAGCGGUGAAAUGCGCAGAUAUCGGGAGGAACACCAAUUGCGAAGGCAGCUCGCUGGGACGUUACUGACGCUGAGACGCGAAAGCGUGGGGAGCAAACAGG
rnacentral:rRNA from 1 species